UGCAAAUGAUGUUUUUUCUCACGAUGGUCUUCCAAGCCUUCAGGGUUCUGACGAAAGUGCCUUAUGGCAUUGCUGAUGCAGACAC